UCGAGCGGAAACGAUGGUAGCUUGCUACCAGGCGUCGAGCGGCGGACGGGUGAGUAAUACUUAGGAAUCUACCUAGUAGUGGGGGAUAGCUCGGGGAAACUCGAAUUAAUACCGCAUACGUCCUACGGGAGAAAGCAGGGGAUCAUUAGACCUUGCGCUAUUAGAUGAGCCUAAGUCGGAUUAGCUAGAUGGUGGGGUAAAGGCCUACCAUGGCGACGAUCUGUAGCUGGUCUGAGAGGAUGAUCAGCCACACCGGGACUGAGACACGGCCCGGACUCCUACGGGAGGCAGCAGUGGGGAAUAUUGGACAAUGGGGGGAACCCUGAUCCAGCCAUGCCGCGUGUGUGAAGAAGGCCUUUUGGUUGUAAAGCACUUUAAGCAGUGAAGAAGACUCUUCGGUUAAUACCCGGGGACGAUGACAUUAGCUGCAGAAUAAGCACCGGCUAACUCUGUGCCAGCAGCCGCGGUAAUACAGAGGGUGCAAGCGUUAAUCGGAAUUACUGGGCGUAAAGCGAGCGUAGGUGGCUUGAUAAGUCAGAUGUGAAAUCCCCGGGCUUAACCUGGGAACUGCAUCUGAAACUGUUAGGCUAGAGUAGGUGAGAGGGAAGUAGAAUUUCAGGUGUAGCGGUGAAAUGCGUAGAGAUCUGAAGGAAUACCGAUGGCGAAGGCAGCUUCCUGGCAUCAUACUGACACUGAGGCUCGAAAGCGUGGGUAGCAAACAGGAUUAGAUACCCUGGUAGUCCACGCCGUAAACGAUGUCUACUAGUCGUUGGGUCCCUUGAGGACUUAGUGACGCAGCUAACGCAAUAAGUAGACCGCCUGGGGAGUACGGCCGCAAGGUUAAAAC
rnacentral:rRNA from 1 species